UGAGAGUUUGUGCCGCAUGCUGAGCAGCUGAGCUUUGGGGUUUAAUUUCUGCAUCUCCACCCCUACACUUCCCUUCCAUUCUCACCGCCUCCUCCAAACCUCCACACCUCCACACCUCAUGUCCUUCAAAUAUUUUUAAUUUCUACAUCUCACACCUCUUCAUCGUCGAACCAAAUUGUUAUCCUCAUCAUCCUCCUCCAAUAAAACCAGAAGAGAGAGAGAGAGAGAGAGAGAGAGCUGAGAGUUUGUGCUGCAGGCUGAGCAGCUGAGCUUUGGGGUUUAAUUUCUGCAUCUCCACCCCUGCAUUUCCCUUCCAUUCUCACCGCCGCCUCCAAACCUCCACACAUCCACACCUCAUGUCCUUCAAAUAUUUUUAAUUUCUGCAUCUCCACACCUCUUCAUCGUCCGCUUCGUCCUCCCGUCCUUCUCCCUCCGUGGCUCCUUCCCUCUCGACACCCUCUCCUGCCUUGACCAGCUCCGCUCCUCAGCCUCCACAACAACUCCCUCUCUGGCGCAAAAAAUAAAAAUAAAAAAGGUGGUCGACAUCACGCUGGUGUCAACAUAGCGUCAGAUGGGCUGGUCCCAAGGUUUGUCAAUUUUGGGCUAGCCUGGAGACCAGCUUGGGCCAAGUGGCAGGCAAUCUGCUGGGCUGGAAGGAGUUCCCUAGGUGUCGGGCCAUUUUUUUGGCUGUGUGCUGGCCUAUCCCACCGCCGAUGGAAGUGCUCUUAUGGAAUUGCUGCCGUCCAGGUUGUUUUGGAACAUUAGGGAUGCUGGAUAAGUUAAAUAAAAGGAUUCCUUAGUUCUUUUUUACUUUUAAUUUGGUGAGGUGAACAAGUAGACAAAUGAAGGCGGCUACUUUGGAAGUGUGUUAAGAAAAAGGAAAGGAAGAGAUGCCAUUUGUAAAGCACAAACAUGAAGACUUGACCUUCUCCUUUGAUCAUUACUCUUGGGUUUGAAUCCGUUAAACUGCAUGUUGAACGUAUUAAAAAGUUGCAAAGGAUCAAGAUUAUGGUGGAGGAUGCAUCAUUACCGACAAACGACAAAAAUUAAGGAGGAAAAAGUGAAGAAAAAGAAAACAAAUUGCAGUGGUGGAGAGGCCAAGUUCUUGGUAGGAGGAGCAUCUUCUACCAUUAUAGACAGGCAAAGAAUGAUCAAAAGAGUACUUUUAUUGUUAGUCAAAGAUCAAAAGAGUACUUAAACACUAUUUACUUCAUCGUAAAAUUGUUUUUAUGCCUUGAAGGUCACUCAUUUGAUGUGGUUGCUUUUAGUUUUAUGUUGUUAAACUCUUCGUUAAUUCAACAGAAGGCAAUGCUUAUUCUUA